ACGUCACCUGACCUAAUAAUUGUUCCCGACAUGGCCACCGGCUCAUCGAUAAUUGUAUGCUAUGCCUCCCUCUCCCCAAAUCCGACGACGAGCACUUCGCGCAAAGUUUCUGUGCAGCUUCGGCGGCACCAUUCUCCUCUGCUUACUUGGCAACUGCUCCGACGAUCAAUGGCGUGAUUUGAAUUCCUUCCGUCUCCCACAACGCUCGUACAGCACAUCCUUUUCCCUUCCAGAUGUUGUGAAGUUUGAGGACCUUUGCAAUAAUUUCUAAGUAUGAUUUCAUGAUGAGUUGAUGGAGAAAAUAUGGGGGAUUUGUUCUUCCAUUCGCUGAUGUUGAUAUUCAUUGCAUGUUUGGAACUUUCUACCCAUGGUGAGAUGCUUCGCUAAUUGCCUGUUAUGCUUUUCACAUUGCACAUCAUAGGGAAAAUGGAUUGUCGCAUUGCCUAAGAAAGAGAGAGGGAGAAAGAGGAAGAAGAAGAGGUAAAUUGCAAACAAAGCAGAGACAAAUAUGAUUGGGGAAAUUUCCGUUAUAGGCUAUUCGUACUUCAUACGCACCCUCAUAUUAGUUGCCCAACUCGCAUGCCAAAAGCUUUGCCAAACGAAUAGAAUCUUCUGCCCAGUUUCGUUUCUUAUAAAGCUUGUGGUUUCAAAAGCACAAGGUCUACAAAUUCAUUGUAAGCCAACCCUAACUGCAUCACUUCUUUUCUGUCCAAUAAAUCAUCAUCCGGAACAAAUGAUUUUAUGUACAAAUGGAGUUUAGGAAACCACUCUGUGAUGCAAACCAUUGUAUAAUUUGUUUCCUAAAAACAAAACCUAUCUUAAAGAAGCCCAACAAAACCACUAGUACAACAAUAGCUUUGUUUCUAUCUCAAUACACUGAACACAAGAAAACAAAGUCAAUCCAACCUCUAUUAAAGUAGUGGAUACUUUAAUAUCUGACCUUCAAGGAAUUCGUACUUUUAAGUUGUUUUAGGUUUUUUGUAACAUUGAGUUAGUUAGAAUUACAAAGGCAGGGUUUCAUCCUUGCAACCAUGUAACUAUGGAAAAUUUAGUGCUUUAAUUUCAUUGCUCUAGGUUAGCCUGAUCUUAUCUCUUACAUAUUUUACCAGUUUUUUAUACAGUUUUUAUUAGUUUCAUCUAUUGAUGCUUGUGAUAUGACUUUGGUUUGUUGGUUGGGAGCUUGGGGUACUUAUCAAGAUGUUUUGGGCUCGAGUCUUACGUAUGUGAUGUGUGUGUGAGUUUGUCUUAAUUGACCUAAAUAUCCCCCCAAAUGCGAUUUGAAGUUAGAUCAGCACCAUUUGCUUUCUUUAGACGACUCAAAAGAAUUGACAUGUAAUUUGAAUAUAUUUUAGUCAGAAAUAUUGAGAGUGGGCCUAGAGCAUUGGUUAAGGUGCCUCCAUCAAUACUUUGAGUUUAUGGUUCAAGUCAUUCUCUGCAAAGCUGUGUGUAUCAACCGUUUCCCAUAUUCUGGAUUAGCGAGGGCCUCAUGGAUUAGGUUACACUUUUUUCUAUUGUGCAGAAAUAUAAGAUAUUUGUUAGUUCCAUAUACACAAAAAGCUUCCUAUAUUGAAGAUAAUUAUAUCAUAAAAGAAAUAAGCUCUAAUCAAAGAAAAGGCUAUUUGAUUUAAAACUCACUAGGUAAUUGUUUGAAUUUUAAUCAGUGUGAUAUUGUAUUUGAUUCACUUUGGCUCUAUAAUAACUCACUCAAAAUUAGUUCAAUUCUAUUUCAAAUUGACUCAAUUUAUAUGAAAUAUCCAUUUAUAUGCAUAUUUUUUCUCUUUCUCACCAACAUGAGCGUGCACACAUAUGUACAUGCAAACAUCAAUGCAUGUUCUAUGUGCACAUGCGCACAUAUACUCUCUUUCUUUGUGCGUGUAUAUAUAUAUAUAUACAUACAUACAUACAUGGGCGGAGGGAGGGGGGCACGUGCCCCUUGCCCCUUGUAUCCCUGGGUAAAAAAUGAGAUAAGAUCCAAAAGACUCAAAGUAUUUCAAGUUCCUUAUAAUUUGUAUGUGCUAUCUUUCGUGAUAUUCAUUUAAAGAGAUUUGACAAAUAUCUUUCCAAUGAUAAAGAUGGUGCUUCUAGUUAGUAAAAUGUGGUCUUAAUUGGGCAAGACAACCCAAAUGAGAAUCACCAAAGACUCAUGAAAAACUAUUUUAAUGUGUUUUAACAUUUCAGAUGACAUGACAAACAUAACUAUUUUAAUUUAGGCCCCUACUCCGAGAAAGGUAGAGCUAGAAUUACUUUGAACUGAAUACAAAGUUUUAUCUGAUUGAUGCCAACUGAUCAACUCAAUACUGGCAAACCUUGUACACAGGAGAUACAGACAAUGUCAUAUCAAUAUUUUAUUUCCACUUUGGACUUGUGAACCAAGUCCCUUUCAUACACAAAUACAAAACUAUACUUGAUAUGUGAAUGUGACAAUAUUUUAGAUAACAGAAAUCUUAGCUAACACUGAACUUGGCCAUCUUUAUCAAGUAUCUUUCUGCAUGGAAGAAGUCAUGAAGAAAAACCUGCAGUUCAGCUACUUCAUGAUCAAGAUUGACUUACCCUGAUCUGUUGUUCUAGAACAGAAGCCUUGUCCUCAAUAAUUUUUUUUUUUUUUGGUAUUUUUAUUUAUCAUAUUUUUAUAGUACAUAUGAUAUCAUAUUUGGAAUGCUGUUGAUUUUUAUGAAAAAGAUGAUGCAACUGAUUACCAACUCACACAUAUAAUUUGGUCA